rnacentral:sRNA from 1 species
GUUUGCACUCAUCGGGGAAGGAUGAGAAGCUUCGACCAAGGUUCGACUCGAGCGCCAGCGAGAGAGCGUUGCCGCAGGCAACGACCCGUAGGGCGAAGCGCGCAGCGCUGAGUAAUCCUUCCCCCACCACCA